rnacentral:rRNA from 1 species
GACGAACGCUGGCGGCGUGCUUAACACAUGCAAGUCGAACGGACAGUUCCUGCUUUUUUGCGGUGCUCGAGUGGCGAACGGGUGAGUAACACUUGAGUAACCUGUCCUUGACUGUGGGAUAUCUUCAUGAAACUGGGGCUCUUACCGGGUAGGAUCUCUUGCUGCUUGGGGGGCGUUGGUAAGUUUCGGCGGUUGGGGAUGUACGCGCGGCUUAUCAGCUUGUUGGUGUGGUAGUGGCUUACCAAGGCUUUGACGGGUAGCCGACCUGGGAGGGUAACCGGCCACAUUAGGACUGAGAUACGGCACAGACUAGAACGGGAGGCAACGGAGGGGAAUAUAACACAAUGGGAGGGAGCAAGGUGUAACAAAGCCGCGUGCGGGAAAAGGGGAAUGGGGUAGGAAACCGAAUUGGUCUGAGAGGAAGCGAGAAUGACGGUAAUGGGUAAAGAAGCACCGGCUAACUACGUG